AAGGGAGAUGCCUCACUACUAGAAUGAACACAGCAGCUGUGAGAUGAGUGAGCCCAGCAGCAAUGGAAAUGUCGUCCUUAGCUAGAAACAUAAAGUAAUUAAGAAGACCGAAACAACAAUCCAUUCUCGAUCAAUGGACUUGGUCGACUGCUCAUUACCAGUGACACAGGAACUCAAGCCCUGGGAAAAUCUGAUCGGCUUUUUCACUGUCUGGAUCAGCAGCAAUUGGAUAUUGGAUGGCAUUGUGCCAAAUGCCAGCUCGCUAAAUGUCCCAGACACACUUUGCAGGUGCCUUGUCUUCUGUCACUGGUGUUAAUAAUUUUUCAAAAUAUCAGAUAGAAAUGGCAGAUGUUCAACCCAGAUAAGUGUGAAGUUGUUCAUUUCAGUAUGUCAAAUUUGAAGACAGAAUAUAAUAUUACUUGUAAGACAUUUGGCA